rnacentral:rRNA from 1 species
GACGAACGCUGGCGGCGUGCUUAACACAUGCAAGUCGAACGGAAAGGCCCUGCUUUUGUGGGUUGCUCGAGUGGCGAACGGGUGUGUAACACGUGAGUAUCCUGCCCUUGACUUUGGGAUAACUUCAGGAAACUGGGGCUAAUACCGGAUAGGAGCUCCUGCUGCAUGGUGGGGGUUGGAAAGUUUCGGCGGUUGGGGAUGGACUCGCGGCUUAUCAGCUUGUUGGUGGGGUAGUGGCUUACCAAGGCUUUGACGGGUAGCCGGCCUGGGAGGGUGACCGGCCACAUGGGGACUGAGAGACGGCGCAGAAGCCUACGGGAGGCAGCAGGGGGGAAUAUGGCACAAUGGGCGGAAGCCUGAUGCAGCAACGCCGCGUGCGGGAUGACGGCCUUCGGGGUGUAAACCGCUUUCGCCUGUGACGAAGCGUGAGUGACGGUAAUGGGUAAAGAAGCAACGGCUAACUACGUG